rnacentral:ncRNA from 1 species
UUAAAGUUUUAAUUUGGCUUAAAAGGUUGAUUUUUAAAGUUAUUAUAUGUAAAUUUUAGUGUUUUAAUUUAAAUAAUAUUGUUUUCAGUAUUUAGAUUUGGGUGUGUAAGAAAUUAUUAUCUAGGGAUUUAGAAGAGUAUUAACAUAAUUUGUGCCAGCAGUUGCGGUUAUACAUAUAAUACAAUUAAUUUAUAUUAGCUAGUAAUAAAUUAUUUAAAUUUAAUUUAUUCUUAUUUUUUUUAGGUGAAAUUUUAAAAUUUAGUUAAUAUUAUAUAAAAUUUUAUGAUUUAUUAAAUUUAUUUAUAGACUAGGAUUAGAUACCCUAUUAUUUUAAAUGUAAAUUUAAUGCUUAAUUAUUAAUAGAUAUAUUCUUUAAAGUUAAAAAUUUUGGCGGUAUUUUAGUCUAUUUAGAGGAACCUGUUCAGUAAUCGAUAAUCCACGAUUUAUAAGACUUAUUUUAAGUAGUUUGUAUAUCGUCGUUAAUAAAUAUUUUAUAAGAAUUUAAAUGUUUAGGGUCUAUAAUAAUAAAAAAAAUCAGAUCAAGGUGCAGUUUAUAGAUAAGAUGAAAUGGGUUACAAUAAAUUUAUUUAUGGAUAAUUAAUUAAAUUAUUAAUUUAAAAUAGGAUUUAAUAGUAAUAAAAUUUAAUUAAAUUUUAUGAUUUUAGCUCUAAAAUAUGUACAUAUUGCCCGUCACUCUCAUAUAAAAUGAGAUAAGUCGUAACAAAGUAGGUGUACUGGAAAGUGUACCUAGUAAGA